rnacentral:rRNA from 1 species
GCUUGUCUCAAAGAUUAAGCCAUGCAUGUCUAAGUAUAAACUGCUUAUACUGUGAAACUGCGAAUGGCUCAUUAAAUCAUUUAUAGAUUAUUUUAUGGUACCUACUACUCGGAUAACCGUAGUAAUUCUAGAGCAAAUACGUGCGUAAAUCCAUACUCCUGGAAGGGACGUGUUUAUUAGAUUUAAGGCCAACCGAGCUUGCUCGUCUCUUAGUGAAUCAUGAUAAUCUCACGAAUCGCAUGUCCUCGCGCCGGCGAUAUUUCCUUCAAAUUUCUGCUAUAUAAAUUGGCGAUGGUAGGAUAGAGGCCUACCAUGGUGUUAACGGGUGACGGGGGAUUAGGGAUCGUUUCCGGAGAGGUAGCUGGAGAAAUGACACCCACAUCCAAGGAAGGCAGCAGG